GUGAAUGUAGUUCAAUAGGCAGAACAACUGUAUGUGGAACAGUAAGUUCCCCGUUCAAUUCGGGGUGUUCAUC
rnacentral:tRNA from 1 species